rnacentral:rRNA from 1 species
GAGUUUGAUCAUGGCUCAGGAUGAACGCUGGCGGCGUGCCUAACACAUGCAAGUCGAACGAGAAGUUCACCUUCGGGUGGAUGGAGAGUGGCGAACGGGUGAGUAACACGUAGUUAAUCUGCCCCGAAGAAUGGGAUAACUUGUGGAAACACAGGCUAAUACCAGAUAAGCCCACGGACUGUAGAAGUCUGUGAGAAAAGGCUGAGGCGCUUUGGGAUGAGACUGCGGUCCAUCAGCUAGUUGGUAAGGUAAAGGCUUACCAAGGCGACGACGGAUAGGGGGCCUGAGAGGGUGACCCCCCACACUGGGACUGAGACACGGCCCAGACUCCUACGGGAGGCAGCAGUGAGGAAUAUUGCACAAUGGGCGAAAGCCUGAUGCAGCGACGCCGCGUGGGUGAAGAAGGUUUUCGGAUCGUAAAGCCCUUUUCUUAGUGACGAGAGAGGACGGUAGCUAAGGAAAAAGUGUCGGCUAACUACGUGCCAGCAGCCGCGGUAAAACGUAGGACGCAAGCGUUAUCCGGAGUUACUGGGCGUAAAGCGCGAGCAGGUGGUUCAAUAAGUUACCUAUGAAAGCUCCUGGCUAAACUAGGAGAGGAUGGGUGAUACUGUUGGACUAGAGUGAAAGAGAGGGAAACGGAAUUCCGGGUGUAGUGGUGAAAUGCGUAGAUAUCCGGAGGAACACCAGAGGCGAAGGCGGUUUCCUGGCUUUCAACUGACACUGAGACGCGAAAGCGUGGGUAGCGAACGGGAUUAGAAACCCCGGUAGUCCACGCCGUAAACGAUGCACACUAGACGUUCGAGGAGGAGACGAAUUGGGUGUCGAAGCAAACGCGAUAAGUGUGCCGCCUGGGGAGUACGGUCGCAAGGCUAAAACUCAAAGGAAUUGACGGGGGCCCGCACAAGCAGCGGAGCGUGUGGUUUAAUUCGAGGCUACGCGAAGAACCUUACCUAGGCUUGACAUCUAACCGGUACGAAUGCGAAAGCAGGAGGACCCUUCGGGGAGGUUAGACAGGUGCUGCAUGGUUGUCGUCAGCUCGUGCCGUGAGGUGUUCGGUUAAGUCCGCAAACGAGCGCAACCCACGUCGUUAGUUACAAGUGUCUAACGAGACAGCCCACGACAAGUGGGAGGAAGGUGUGGAUGACGUCAAAUCAGCAUGGCCUUUAUGUCUAGGGCUACACACACGCUACAAUGGUUAGGACAAUAGGUAGCGAAGGAGCGAUCUGGAGCCAAUCCAGGAAACCUAAUCUCAGUUCGGAUUGUAGGCUGCAACUCGCCUGCAUGAAGUCGGAGUUGCUAGUAAACGCACGUCAGCACAGUGCGUUGAAUACGUUCCCGGGCCUUGUACACACCGCCCGUCACGUCAUGGGAGCUGGUUACGCCUGAAGUCGGGAAGCUAACCGAAAGGAGGCUACCGCCGAAGGCAGAGCUGGUGACUGGG